rnacentral:lncRNA from 1 species
CCACAUUACCCAACUCCAUUCAAGAUAAGACAUUCAUUUUCGUGAGACUCCCUGAAGAGGACAGCAGUUCUCAGUCGUCUAAAGGCAAACACCAAGCUGAUUUAUAUUCUGCAGUUAAAACUUUGCUUCAAGGGAAGGACUUCUGCAGUCCUGAAAGUGCAAAAACAUCGCAAUUUAUUGCAUUUAGAAGGCAAGACUGUGACCUCAUCAAUGACUGCUGCUCCAAGCACUACACAGACCACCUCAUCAAAGACCAUAAGAAGAAACUCAUCUUUGCUGUUGGUGAUAAGAUCUGUUGUACCCGGAAUGCGUACCUCUCAGAUUUACUCCCUGACAGAGACCAGGAAGCCAACGGGAAAGGCUUUGGAGAUGCCCCAGACGA